AGUCACUGACAUUAGAUACCCGUGUAGUCCAGGGUGUAAACGCUGCAGACUUGGUGUUGGAAGUCCUUUGGGGGCAUUCAGUGCCGGAGAGAAGUUGUUAAGUUUGCUACUUGGGGAGUACGUCCGCAAGGAUGAAACUUAAAGGAAUUGGCGGGGGAGCACCGCAACGGGAGGAGCGUGCGGUUUAAUUGGAUUCAACACCGUAAACUCACCAGGGAAGACUGUUACAUGAAAGCCGAGAUGAAGACUCUGCUAGAUUUUCAG
rnacentral:rRNA from 1 species